rnacentral:rRNA from 1 species
UACAGAGGGGGCAAGCGUUAUUCGGAAUUAUUGGGCGUAAAGGGCGCGUAGGCGGCCUGACAAGUGGAAGGUGAAAUCCCUCGGCUUAACCGGGGAACUGCGUCUGAUACUGGAUGGCUUGAGUUCGGGAGAGGGAUGCGGAAUUCCAGGUGUAGCGGUGAAAUGCGUAGAUAUCUGGAGGAACACCGGUGGCGAAGGCGGCAUCCUGGACCGACACUGACGCUGAGGAGCGAAAGCCAGGGGAGCAAACGGG